CGACAUUGUUAUACCAGUCGGUCAUUAUAAAAACCUUUUCAAUCGUCUUCUGCAUCAAGUAUUCAUCAACCUCGUCCAAUAUGUACAAGCUACUCCUACAAGUUUUGCUCCUGGCCGUCCUGGUGGCCGUGUGUCUGGCAUCUUGGAAUGAGUAUGGUGACGGGUCAAGGCCACAGACGUAUGAAGUCCGCUAUGAUGAACCCCCACAGGCAUAUCACCAACCAUCAUCGGGUUGCUAAGCAACGAGGAUAGUACCUGAUUGUACAUAAACCAAGCAUGUGGAACAUCAAAUCAUAAUGGGAUCAUCGAUGUGCAUUUAAUAAAUAAGUUUACACCCAUUGAGUUGUUUGUACAUUAUGCAUGUCAAUAAACCAAGUUUAUUGCUCAAAAUACACAAGCGGUGGUAAAUGAGUAUGUGCAAUAAUUCAAUACAAAGGCGGUACGGUAUACCCGAGUCAGCAGGCAGUGGAUAGGUAUAUGUUACAGGACAGUG